CGCGGAGUAGAGCAGUAUGGUAGCUUGUUGGGCUCAUAACCCGAAGGUCGGUGGUUCAAAUCCAUUCUCCGCUA
rnacentral:tRNA from 1 species